rnacentral:rRNA from 1 species
GUGCUAUGGCGGCGUGCCUAAUACAUGCAGUCGAGCGGAUCUUCAUUAGCUUGCUUUUGAAGAUCAGCGGCGGACGGGUGAGUAACACGUGGGCAACCUGCCUGUAAGACUGGGAUAACUUCGGGAAACCGGAGCUAAUACCGGAUAAUCCUUUCCCUCACAUGAGGGAAAGCUGAAAGACGGUUUCGGCUGUCACUUACAGAUGGGCCCGCGGCGCAUUAGCUAGUUGGUGAGGUAACGGCUCACCAAGGCAACGAUGCGUAGCCGACCUGAGAGGGUGAUCGGCCACACUGGGACUGAGACACGGCCCAGACUCCUACGGGAGGCAGCAGUAGGGAAUCUUCCGCAAUGGACGAAAGUCUGACGGAGCAACGCCGCGUGAGCGAUGAAGGCCUUCGGGUCGUAAAGCUCUGUUGUCAGGGAAGAACAAGUACCGGAGUUAACUGCCGGUACCUUGACGGGUACCUGACCAGAAGCCCACGGCUUACUACGUGCCCGCCAGCCGCGGUAAUACGUAGGUGGCAAGCGUUGUCCGGAAUUAUUGGGCGUAAAGCGCGCGCAGGCGGUUCCUUAAUUCUUAUGUGAAAGCCCCCGGCUCAACCGGGGAGGGUCAUUGGAAACUGGGGAACUUGAGUGCAGAAGAGGAGAGCGGAACUUCCACGUGUAGCGGUGAAAUGCGUAGAGAUGUGGAGGAACACGAGUGGCGAACGCGGCUCCUCUGGUCUGUAACUGACGCUGAGGCGCGAAAGCGUGCGGAGCGAACAGGAUUAGAUACCCUGGUAGUCCACGUCGUAAACGAUGAGUGCUAAGUGUUAGAGGGUUUCCGCCCUUUAUUGCUACAGCAAUCGCAUAUUCACUACGACUGUCGAGUACUGCCGCAGGCUGUAUACUCAAAAGAAUUGACGAGGCGCCGCCCAAGCGGUGCAACAAUGAGUUUCAGAUCAAAGCUAGCGCAGAACUUAACUGGCUUGCGAUGCUCUGAUAUACCUUAGAUAUCGGUUUCGCAUCUCGGGAG